rnacentral:rRNA from 1 species
UACGAAGGGUGCAAGCGUUACUCGGAAUUACUGGGCGUAAAGGGCUCGUAGGCGGCCAACUAAGUCGGAUGUGAAAUCCCCAGGCUCAACCUGGGAACUGCAUCCGAUACUGGAUGGCUUGAAUCCGGGAGAGGGAUGCAGAAUUCCAGGUGUAGCGGUGAAAUGCGUAGAUAUCUGGAGGAAUACCGGUGGCGAAGGCGGCAUCCUGGACCGGCAUUGACGCUGAGGAGCGAAAGCUAGGGGAGCAAACGGG